GACGAACGCUGGCGGCGUGCUUAACACAUGCAAGUCGAACGGAAAGGCCCUGCUUUUGUGGGGUGCUCGAGUGGCGAACGGGUGAGUAACACGUGAGUAACCUGCCCUUGACUUUGGGAUAACUUCAGGAAACUGGGGCUAAUACCGGAUAGGAGCUCCUGCUGCAUGGUGGGGGUUGGAAAGUUUCGGCGGUUGGGGAUGGACUCGCGGCUUAUCAGCUUGUUGGUGGGGUAGUGGCUUACCAAGGCUUUGACGGGUAGCCGGCCUGAGAGGGUGACCGGCCACAUUGGGACUGCGAUACGGCCCAGACUCCUACGGGAGGCAGCAGUGGGGAGUCUUGCACAAUGGGCGGAAGCCUGAUGCAGCAACGCCGCGUGCGGGAUGACGGCCUUCGGGUUGUAAACCGCUUUCGCCUGUGACGAAGCGUGAGUGACGGUAAUGGGUAAAGAAGCACCGGCUAACUACGUG
rnacentral:rRNA from 1 species